rnacentral:rRNA from 1 species
AUUGAACGCUGGCGGCAUGCCUUACACAUGCAAGUCGAACGGCAGCACGGGAGCUUGCUCCUGGUGGCGAGUGGCGAACGGGUGAGUAAGUACAUCGGAACGUACCCUGAAGUGGGGGAUAACGUAGCGAAAGUUACGCUAAUACCGCAUAUUCUGUGAGCAGGAAAGAGGGGGAUCGCAAGACCUCUUGACUUUAGGAGCGGCCGAUGUCGGAUUAGCUAGUUGGUGAGGGUAAAAGGCUCACCAAGGCGACGAUCCGUAGCGGGUCUGAGAGGAUGAUCCGCCACACUGGGACUGAGACACGGCCCAGACUCCUACGGGAGGCAGC